GGACACUGAAAGGAGGAGGAGGAGAGGGAGAGACAUGUCAGAUAAAGCAGGUCUGUGUUACAUAAAACAAUAAAUACAAUCUGUCCAGCAGCACAGGUACAUACAGUAUUAUAUCAUCAUCAACAAGAACUAAGCACAUGGAGUCAGAACAGUUUUGUGGUACUUGUCUAUUUUUAUGCUACUUUAUAGUCCAUUACAUCAACAGCUGUAGCUGUGAUCACAGAAUAAGGCUGUAAAUUCAAAACAUACUAUAGUUUAUACAAUAUCGUUAUCAGUUAAAUUGUUCAUGUAGAACCACCUCUAACUACAACCUUAAAAUUUCACUAACAUGUUAAUCAGUAUAGACGUUGUGUUAAAAUAUUACUUUGGUAAAAGUGAAAAUCACACACAUGUAAAGUACUUUAGUAGAAGUUUUAAAGUUUCUGAUAUUGAAUGGAGAAAACUAUCAAAAGUACAAGAAAAUAUGUGUAUGUUUAUAUUGAUACAAACCCCUUAUAUACAAGGGGUUGAUCUUAUAAUCAACAUUUUUCUGAUGAUGAUAAAUUAAAUCAAUUCAAAAAUGUCCUACUUCAGCUCUAAUUAAGCAAUUGUCAAAGAAACGAGUAACUACACCUUUUAAAUCAAUGAAAUGGAGUAAAAAGUACGAUAUUUUCCUCCAAAAUGCAGUGGAGUAGAAGUAGAAAAUAGAGGAAAAUGUAAGUAUGUAAGUACAAAUACCUCAAAAUAGUCCUAAAUAACCGUAGCACACUAUAUGUACAUUCUAUCACUUUGUAUAUACAGUAUAAUCUGCAUCAUUACCACGGCUACAAAGUACACGUAUCUGUACUUUUUUUGACUUUCACUGUUUCAUACUACUUGAUUACAGUUGUCUGACAGCUAGAGUAAUUCGUUACUUGUUACAGAUUAAGAAUAAAUGUAUUAAGCAUAUUUAGCUCCACUUCAACCUUAUAUUAUCACCCAAUGUACAUUUACUUCCUUAUAUUUAUAUAAUUUUACUCUAUAAUGUUAUGAUUGCAGGGCUUGCUCUUGUAAAGGAGUAUUCUUGCUACUUUUAAUUAAAUAAGUAAAUAUUUCAAAUACUUCUUUCAGCACCAGUAAAUACAUCACUCCUGCACCUUCAUGUGCCACACCUGACCAAAUACAUUCCUCAUCCCUCUUCUCCUGACGCUGAGAAGCCUUGUUUCUAUUGAAAUGCCUUUUUUUUUUUGGGAUUGUUUGUGGAAUUUAUUUAUUUUUUUCUCCAGGGGUGGAGGCAGGCAGUCGACCCUGACGUGACCCUGCGGCCAGCAAACAGCCUCACCUGAUAAAGCUGACCCGCAGCUAAGACUGUGGAGUCAUUAGACGGCGGGCUCUUAGCAGAGAAAAUACACUGCCGCGCUCUGACCUAUCAUCCCAUCAACCCAUCAGUCUGUCAGUAGCAGCGCGGCGGUACGAGCGCUCUUCCUCAGCGUGGGAAAUUGAGCGUGUGAAAGCACCGUGGACGACAUUUCAGGCUAGAGCGAUCACCGAGAGCAGGGAGAAGUAGGAAAGAGGAAGAGGUGUAAUUAACCAAAAAAAAA